rnacentral:rRNA from 1 species
UACGAAGGGGGCGAGCGUUGUUCGGAAUUACUGGGCGUAAAGGGCGCGUAGGCGGCGAUCCGAGUCAGAUGUGAAAGUCCUGGGCUUAACCUGGGGACUGCAUUUGAUACUGGAUUGCUUGAAUGCAGGAGAGGAUAGCGGAAUUCCCAGUGUAGAGGUGAAAUUCGUAGAUAUUGGGAAGAACACCGGUGGCGAAGGCGGGUCUCUGGGCAGUAACUGACGCUGAGGAGCGAAAGCGUGGGGAGCGAACAGG